GACGAACGCUGGCGGCGUGCUUAACACAUGCAAGUCGAACGAAGUGGCGAACGGGUGAGUAACGCGUAAUCAACCUGCCCUUCAGCGGGAGACAACAGUUGGAAACGACUGCUAAUACCGCAUACUGAAGGAGGGGAUUGCGUCUGAUUAGCUAGUUGGGGGGGUAACGUCCCACAAAGGCGAUGAAAAGUAGCCGGUCUUAGAUGAUGGACGGCCACAUUGGGACGUAGACACGACCGAGACCCCUACGGCGGGCAUCAGUGGGGAAUCUUUCGCAAUGGACGAAAGUCUGACGGAGCAACGCCGCGUGAGUGAUGACGGCCUUCGGGUUGUAUAGAUCUGUUAAUCGGGACGCGGUACCGGAAUAGAAAGCCACGGCUAACUACGUGCCAGCAGCCGCGGUAAUUC
rnacentral:rRNA from 1 species